AUUGAACGCUGGCGGCAGGCUUAACACAUGCAAGUCGAGCGGAGAUGAGGUGCUUGCACCUUAUCUUAGCGGCGGACGGGUGAGUAAUGCUUAGGAAUCUGCCUAUUAGUGGGGGACAACAUUCCGAAAGGAAUGCUAAUACCGCAUACGCCCUACGGGGGAAAGCAGGGGAUCUUCGGACCUUGCGCUAAUAGAUGAGCCUAGGUCGGAUUAGCUAGUUGGUGGGGUAAAGGCCUACCAAGGCGACGAUCUGUAGCGGGUCUGAGAGGAUGAUCCGCCACACUGGGACUGAGACACGGCCCAGACUCCUACGGGAGGCAGCAGUGGGGAAGAUUGGACAAUGGGCGGAAGCCUGAUCCAGCCAUGCCGCGUGUGUGAAGAAGGCCUUUUGGUUGUAAAGCACUUUAAGCGAGGAGGAGGCUACCUGGAUUAAUACUCUAGGAUAGUGGACGUUACUCGCAGAAUAAGCACCGGCUAACUCUGUGCCAGCAGCCGCAGUAAGAC
rnacentral:rRNA from 1 species